rnacentral:rRNA from 1 species
GACGAACGCUGGCGGCGUGCUUAACACAUGCAAGUCGAACGGAAAGGCCCUGCUUUUGUUGGGUGCUCGAGUGGCGAGCGGGUGAGUAACACGUGAGUAACCUUCCCUUGCCUUUUGGAUAACUUCAGGAAACUGGGGUUACUACCGGAUCGGAGCUCCUGCUGCAUGGCGGGUGUUGGAUAUUUUCGGCGGUUGGGGAUGGACUCGCGGCUUAUCAGCUUGUUGGUGGGGUAGUGGCUUACCACGGCUUUGACGGGUAGCCGGCCUGAGGGGGUCACCGGCAACGUGGGGACUGAGAUACGGCCCAGACUGCUAGGGGAGGCAGCAGUGGGGAAUAUGGCACAAGGGGCGGAAGCCUGAUGCAGGAGCGCCGCGUGCGGGAUGACGGCCUUCGGGUUGUAAACCGCUGUCGCAUGUGCCGAAGCGUGAGUGACGGUAAUGAGUAAAGAAGCACCGGCUAACUACGUG